AGAGUUUGAUCCUGGCUCAGGAUGAACGCUGGCGGCGUGCUUACACAUGCAAGUCGAGCGAAGCGAUUUUAGCGGAAGUUUUCGGGUGGAAGUUGGAUUGACUGAGCGGCGGACGGGUGAGUAACGCGUGGGUAACCUGCCUCAUACAGGGGGAUAACAGUUAGAAAUGACUGCUAAUACCGCAUAAGCGCACGGGGACGCAUGUUCUUGUGUGAAAAGCCGAGACGGUAUGAGAUGGACCCGCGUCUGAUUAGCUAGUUGGUGAGGUAACGGCCCACCAAGGCAACGAUCAGUAGCCGACCUGAGAGGGUGACCGGCCACAUUGGGACUGAGACACGGCCCAAACUCCUACGGGAGGCAGCAGUGGGGAAUAUUGCACAAUGGGGGAAACCCUGAUGCAGCGACGCCGCGUGAGUGAAGAAGUAUUUCGGUAUGUAAAGCUCUAUCAGCAGGGAAAGAUAAUGACGGU
rnacentral:rRNA from 1 species